UCCUACGGGAGGCAGCAGUGAGGAAUAUUGGUCAAUGGGCGGGAGCCUGAACCAGCCAAGCCGCGUGAAGGAAGAAGGCGCCAAGCGUCGUAAACUUCUUUUGUCGGGGAACAAAGGGCGCCACGUGUGGCGUUGUGAGUGUACCCGAAGAAAAAGCAUCGGCUAACUCCGUGCCAGCAGCCGCGGUAAUACGGAGGGUGCGAGCGUUAAUCGGAAUUACUGGGCGUAAAGCGCUCGUAGGCGGUAUGUCAAGUCAAGGGUGAAAUCCCCGCGCUCAACGGGGGAACUGCCUUUGAAACUGGCAA
rnacentral:rRNA from 1 species